UAAUUUGACUCUACUGAUUUGACCCUAUAUUCAAUGUACGACUUUUGCGGACUCUUCGCCUGGCUGUGGGUUUAGCCUAAUAUACGUACGGAAACAGGAUUAUAAAAAUAGGAAACAGGAUCAUAAAAAUGAGUGUUCCAGAUAUUAAAAAGGACGACCAUUACAGACUCCGUCAUACAGUUUAUUCAUUCUAGGAGCUCUUCCCAUUGACAAGCAAGGUAAAAAGAAACAUGCUGUCACACGUGAUCCUCACGCUGUUAUCAUGCGUCACUCACGUGAUCAGUGAGUUYCAAUGUCAAGGAACCUGCUAUUCGGGAUCUUUCCCAAAKAACAACCAAGUUAUCAAGGGAAAAYAUCUCAGAGGAUACUCCUACAAGAACRUUACCAUUAAUGUUCCAYGCA